UGAACUUCUGAUUCCCUGCUGCUACCUCC
rnacentral:piRNA from 1 species